CAUUUUCUGCUAACAUGGACUUUAUUAUUUUUUUCCUUUUAAUGUGUUUUUCUCCACCAUGUAUCCUGUGUCAGACAUUACAAGAGUCUGGUCCUGGAAUUGUGAAACCCUCAGAGUCACUCAGACUGACCUGCACAGUUUCUGGGUUUGAGCUAACUAGCAAUGCUGUGAACUGGAUCAGGCAGCCUCCUGGGAAGGGACUGGAAUGGAUUGGAGUUGUGUGGUAUGGUGGGAACACAGAUCUUGCUGAUUCCCUGAAAAGCAGAGUUACAAUUACUAGAGAUACUGGGAAGAAGCAGGUCUACCUCCUAAUGAAUGGGAUGGAAGUUAAAGACACUGCCAUGUAUUAUUGUGCAAGAUUCACAACAUUACAAGAGUCUGGUCCUGGAACUGUGAAACCCUCAGAGUCACUCAGACUGACCUGCACAGUUUCUGGGUUUGAGCUAACUAGCAAUGCUGUGAGCUGGAUCAGGCAGCCUCCUGGGAAGGGAUUGGAAUGGAUUGGAGCUGUAUGGACUGGUGGGAGCUCAGCUAUUGCUGAUUCACUUAAAAACAGAGUUACAAUUACUGAAGACAAUGGGAAGAAGCAGGUCUACCUCCAAAUGACUGGGAUGGAAGUUAAAGACACUGCCAUGUAUUACUGUGCAAGAUACACAGUGACAGAAGAGAAUGAGGAAGUCAGACAAUAACUAAAUGUCAAGUCAUAGACCACAGUAAUGUAAA